rfam:Schistosoma mansoni strain Puerto Rico chromosome 2, complete genome
AUCCAGUUGACGAGUCCCACAUAGUACGAAACACACGUCCUGGAU